GACGGAAGGUGCAAGCGUUGCUCGGAAUCACUGGGCGUAAAGGGUGCGUAGGCGGCCGUGCAAGUCUGGCGUGAAAGCCCCGGGCUCAGCCCGGGAAGUGCGCUCGAAACUGCGCGGCUCGAGUGCCGGAGGGGAGAGUGGAAUUCCUGGUGUAGCGGUGAAAUGCGCAGAUAUCAGGAGGAACACCGGUGGCGAAGGCGGGUCUCUGGGCCGAUACUAACGCUGAGGAGCGAAAGCGUGGGGAGCGAACAGG
rnacentral:rRNA from 1 species